ensembl:lncRNA
GGAGUAUUAUGUUUUUGUUGCUGCAAGCGCUUUUUAUGCAGUUUUUGCAAAGCUAUAUGUGGAAGAAAACCGUGACCUAGGACAAGCUGAUGGCAUAAGAUGCCUUCUAGAUUCCCUGCCAUCUGGAGUUCUGUGGAUGUGUGUGAGUGAGCGUGAGUAUUUUGGAGUGGACAUUCAGAGUGAGUUGUGGAUUAAGUUGAAGAGGAGCGUGUGUACCCCCCGCCUUGGACCUUCCCUUCGGACCCCCCUCCACUCCCUGGAACUCUGUGUUAUCGGUCUCACUGUAUAUAUGUAUAUAUUCUCACUUGGUGCCACAUCGUAAAUGAACCUUCACCUUCUCUCUAAACUUCAGAGUCCUGCGACCAGUAGUAAAGUUGCAGAACAACAGAGGAAACAACAAAUACUCAUACACCAG